GCCUGCUUAGCUUAGUUGGUAGAGCAGCCUAGUAAGCGGAAGGUCGUCGGUUCGACUCCGGCAGUAGGCU
rnacentral:tRNA from 1 species